ACCCGCCUCUGAAAGACUUAGAGGAUCUGCCAACAUUUGGUAUGAAUGUAUUUUAACAUGAAAAUUUUCCUGUUCAUCAAAAUUGUAGUGAAAACAACACACUCACACAAAUGUGUUACAUGUAAAUUUCAGCACAUUGAAAACUACCAACACAUUAACUUGGACUGCUGCAAGAAGCGUUUUUUGGUACAGAUCUCAAAGCAAGAAUUUUAUUUAAUUAAAGGUUGUUCUAGGAACAGCAAGAGAGCUAAUUUAAAAAAUAAAAACCACACUUUUAACAAUUGCAAGUACUUCUCCACGUGAAACAGAAUUUCUUAAUCUGGUACAAUCAAAAUAGAUGGCAGUGGUUCUCAGCUGGGGUGAUUUUACUCCUGACACCUGACUCUGGAGGAAGGGCCAGUGACUAUUGGCUACCGUCACCAUGCAGGGUCUUGAGUUGUGCCGUGAGGGCUCCCACUCUGGGCCCACCACUCCUAGACCAUGUGACCUCAGACUCAGUGCCUCAUCUCGCCAAGCUUAGAUUUCCUCAACUGCAAGAUGGCACCACAGUAUCAUGUAUUUCAUUUGGCAGUUGUGAGGAUUAGAUGGUAUCAUUUAUGCCAAGUGCUUAGAACAGUGUCAAACACACAAUCAGUGUUAGCCACCACCAUCAUGAUUCCUGCAAAUUCCGGCAGCCUGCUGAUGGUUUUCCUGCAAAGAACAGCCAGGAUAGGCAUUAAGAAGAUGCUGAAGCCCAUUCUGGAGAAGGACUUCCCUCCCUCCCACAACAUCUUCUGGCUCUUCCUUCAGCAUCUGUCCAGAACUAGACCACCUCCCAUCAGCUCCACCGCCACCCUGGCUCAAGCACCGCCAUCUCCCGCCCGAGUCGUUGCUGUGGCCCCUCCUUGGUCUCCCUGCUUCUGCUAUGGCCCCUCUACAAACUACCACCUGGAGAAAGGUCAUUUUAAAAUGUAACUCUGAUGUCACUCUUCUAGAACAUUCGAGUCCAGAGGACCCUUCCCAGCUCACAAGGAGUCAAAUUCAAAGUCCUUUCUGUGGCCUGUAUGCUGUGCUCCCACCCCGGCAUACUCACCUGGGCCUCUUCUCUUACCACUUGGCUCACUCCUCCCAGGCCCACUGGGCCCUUGUUCUCCCCUGAACAACCCCUGGUACAGCCUGCCAUUCCUUCUGCUCCCACAUGGCCUCCCUGACUUCCUUCAAGUUCCUACUGAGGUGUCUUCUCAUCGAAGAGCCUUUCCCUGACCACCCUGACAGUUGCCAGUGUCCACCCCACUGCAAACCCAGGUUUCCUCCUCCAUUUGCUUCACAGCAUUGCUGAACCUUUGCUCUCUGCUCAUCACUUACUUGUGUGUUGGUGGUCUCCCUCCCUGGAGAUCAGCUCCUCAAGUGCAGGACAUUGUGGUGUUCACAGCUCUAUCCCCAGUAUCCCCAUCCAUGUCAGGAGCUCAACCAAUACCUGUUGCGUAAGUGAUGAUUAGGCGAGUGAAUUCUGAGGGCAGCCCCAGACAACUGUGAUUCCUCUCCUCUGCCCACAGCUGAUGGGGCCACGGACCGCCAAUCCCCAGGUGAACCAGCACUCAGACAGGUCAGGAGGAGAACACUCAGCCCUCCUGCAUCAUGGGGAUUUGUGGGUCAAGUCCUCAUCGGUCUCCACCUCCCUCUUUCUCAGUUUAAAGAGAUUAGCCAGGAGAUAGUGAGAAAGAGAAGUUACUGCCAAGGGUUCCCAGCUGCAAAGACUAUGGCUCCCCACAGAUCCACGGAUGAGGCCCCAGGCUGUCCCAGCCCUCUGGUUCCAGGUGUCAUUGGAAGCCACAGUCCUGGGCAAAGAAUGUUCCAUCUACACAUAUAACAUCAUGCCACUGGUAUCCGUGUCAGGAUUGGGAGCAGGGUCAGGGAAGGUCACUGUGUGAAAGUGUUAGGGUUCAGGGUGGUUCUGUGUGAGACAAAGGAAUGCCUUUGGUGGCUUUUGGCUGGUCCAAUUGGUCAGGAAAAUCAUUCCAGAGAAGGAGGGCCAGAGAGCAUGAUCUCAACUUCCACAAGUGAUCAUGUACUUUGGAGGAUAUUCCAGGUAAAAGAAACAAAUAUAAGAAGCAGCAAACUGGUUUCCUGAGCAGGGACUGAGAAGCUGGAAAUCGAUUCUGUAGAUGGGCUAAAGUGUAGGCUUCAUGCUGGGGGCCAGAAAAAAAUGACCCCAGGUUUCUCCAGCACCUGCUGUGCCAGGCCCUGUCUCGGUGCUAGAAGAUGAAUAAGGCCCAACCUCCCCCACCCUGUCACACCCUACACAAGGUGGUGGGUGUCAGAAAUACAUGUGCAGCCAGCAUCACGGCACACACACACAACAUGCUUAUACACAUUGCACUUCCACACACAUACACAGAAAAGAGGCUCCUGGAUGAGAGCUGACUCAGUGGCCCUUGUCAAGUCUCCAAAAUGAUUUCUCCCAACAGAAAAUAGGCAGUGGUGCCAGAAGAUCCACCAGGCAUCUCACAGGCUGCACCCAGCUCCCCUCCUGCAGUCCCCUAGAGCCAGGCUUUCACCUUGAAACAAAUCUCUUUUUUCUUUUUCUUUUUUUAAUUUAAAUUUAUUUAUUUCAAUUGGAGGCUAAUUAGUUUACAAUAUUAUAUUGGUUUUACC